UUCCGGUUGAUCCUGCCGGACCUGACUGCUAUCGGAUUGAUACUAAGCCAUGCGAGUCAUUGUAGCAAUACAAGGCAUACGGCUCAGUAACGCGUAGUCAACCUAACCUAUGGACGGGAAUAACCUCGGGAAACUGAGAAUAAUGCCCGAUAGAACAUUAUACCUGGAAUGGUUUAUGUUCCAAAUGAUUUAUCGCCGUAGGAUGGGACUGCGGCCUAUCAGUUUGUUGGUGAGGUAAUGGCCCACCAAGACUAUUACAGGUACGGGCUCUGAGAGGAGUAGCCCGGAGAUGGGUACUGAGACAAGGACCCAGGCCCUAUGGGGCGCAGCAGGCGAGAAAACUUUGCAAUGUGCGAAAGCACGACAAGGUUAAUCCGAGUGAUUUCUGCUAAAGGAAUCUUUUGUUAGUUCUAAAAAUACUAGUGAAUAAGGGGUGGGCAAGUUCUGGUGUCAGCCGCCGCGGUAAAACCAGCACCUCAAGUGGUCAGGAGGAUUAUUGGGCCUAAAGCAUCCGUAGCCUGUUCUAUAAGUUUGCGGUUAAAUCUAUACGCUCAACGUAUAGGCUGCCGUAAAUACUGUAGAACUAGGGAGUGGGAGAGGUAGACGGUACUCGAUAGGAAGGGGUAAAAUCCUUUGAUCUAUUGAUGACCACCUGUGGCGAAGGCGGUCUACCAGAACACGUUCGACGGUGAGGGAUGAAAGCUGGGGGAGCAAACCGGAUUAGAUACCCGGGUAGUCCCAGCUGUAAACGAUGCAGACUCGAUGAUGCAAUGGCAUAGAGCUAUUGCAGUAUCGCAGGGAAGCCGUUAAGUUUGCCGCCUGGGAAGUACGUACGCAAGUAUGAAACUUAAAGGAAUUGGCGGGGGAGCACCACAAGGGGUGAAGCCUGCGGUUCAAUUGGAUUCAACGCCGGG
rnacentral:rRNA from 1 species